AUGAACGCUAGCUACAGGCUUAACACAUGCAAGUCGAGGGGCAGCAUUUCAGUUUGCUUGCAAACUGGAGAUGGCGACCGGCGCACGGGUGAGUAACACGUAUCCAACCUGCCGAUAACUCGGGGAUAGCCUUUCGAAAGAAAGAUUAAUACCCGAUGGUAUAAUCAGACCGCAUGGUCUUGUUAUUAAAGAAUUUCGGUUAUCGAUGGGGAUGCGUUCCAUUAGGCAGUUGGUGAGGUAACGGCUCACCAAACCUUCGAUGGAUAGGGGUUCUGAGAGGAAGGUCCCCCACAUUGGAACUGAGACACGGUCCAAACUCCUACGGGAGGCAGCAGUGAGGAAUAUUGGUCAAUGGGCGCAGGCCUGAACCAGCCAAGUAGCGUGAAGGAUGACUGCCCUAUGGGUUGUAAACUUCUUUUAUAUGGGAAUAAAGUUUUCCACGUGUGGAAUUUUGUAUGUACCAUAUGAAUAAGGAUCGGCUAACUCCGUGCCAGCAGCCGCGGUAAUACGGAGGAUCCGAGCGUUAUCCGGAUUUAUUGGGUUUAAAGGGAGCGUAGGUGGACAGUUAAGUCAGUUGUGAAAGUUUGCGGCUCAACCGUAAAAUUGCAGUUGAUACUGGCUGUCUUGAGUACAGUAGAGGUGGGCGGAAUUCGUGGUGUAGCGGUGAAAUGCUUAGAUAUCACGAAGAACUCCGAUUGCGAAGGCAGCUCACUGGACUGCAACUGACACUGAUGCUCGAAAGUGUGGGUAUCAAACAGGAUUAGAUACCCUGGUAGUCCACACAGUAAACGAUGAAUACUCGCUGUUUGCGAUAUACAGUAAGCGGCCAAGCGAAAGCAUUAAGUAUUCCACCUGGGGAGUACGCCGGCAACGGUGAAACUCAAAGGAAUUGACGGGGGCCCGCACAAGCAGUGGAGUAUGUGGUUUAAUUCGAAGCAACGCGAAGAACCUUACCAAGGCUUGACAUAUACAGGAAUAUUUAAGAGAUUAAAUAGCUCUUCGGAGUCUGUAUACAGGUGGUGCAUGGUUGUCGUCAGCUCGUGCCGUGAGGUGUCGGCUUAAGUGCCAUAACUAGCGCAACCCUUAUCUUUAGUUACUAACAGGUCAUGCUGAGGACUCUAGAGAGACUGCCGUCGUAAGAUGUGAGGAAGGUGGGGAUGACGUCAAAUCAGCACGGCCCUUACGUCCGGGGCUACACACGUGUUACAAUGGGGGGUACAGAAGGCAGCUACCUGGUGACAGGAUGCUAAUCCCAAAAGCCUCUCUCAGUUCGGAUCGAAGUCUGCAACCCGACUUCGUGAAGCUGGAUUCGCUAGUAAUCGCGCAUCAGCCAUGGCGCGGUGAAUACGUUCCCGGGCCUUGUACACACCGCCCGUCAAGCCAUGAAAGCCGGGGGUACCUGAAGUACGUAACCGCAAGGAGCGUCCUAGGGUAAAACUGGUAAUUGGGGCU
rnacentral:rRNA from 1 species